rnacentral:rRNA from 1 species
UAGGGAAUAUUAGAAAUGGACGAAAGUCUGAUCUAGCAACACCGCGUGUGCGAAGAAGGCCUUCGGGUCGUAAAGCACUUUUUGGAAGGAAUAGGAAGGAAUGUACUUCCAGAAUAAGUCUUGGCUAACUACGUGCCAGCAGCCGCGGUAACACGUAGGAGGCAAACGUUAUCCGGAUUUACUGGGCGUAAAGCGCGUGUAGGUGGUACUGUAAGUAGGGCGUGAAAGCUCCCGGCUCAACUGGGAGAGGCCGUUCUAAACUACAGAACUAGAGGAUGGUAGAGGGAGGUGGAAUUCCAGGUGUAGCGGUGGAAUGCGCAGAUAUCUGGAGGAACACCAGUGGCGAAGGCGGCCUCCUGGACCAUUCCUGACACUCAGACGCGAAAGCUAGGGUAGCAAACGG